GUGCUCGCUUCAGCAGGACAUCUGCUAAAAAACUGGAAUGAUACAGAGAAGAUUAGCAUGGCCCCUGUGCAAGGAUGACACGCAAAUUUGUGAAGCGUUCCAUAGUUUA
ensembl:snRNA U6 U6 spliceosomal RNA